rnacentral:rRNA from 1 species
AUUGAACGCUGGCGGCAUGCCUUACACAUGCAAGUCGAACGGUAACAGGUCUUCGGAUGCUGACGAGUGGCGAACGGGUGAGUAAUACAUCGGAACGUGCCUGGUAGUGGGGGAUAACUACUCGAAAGAGUGGCUAAUACCGCAUGAGAUCUACGGAUGAAAGCAGGGAUCGCAAGACCUUGUGCUACUAGAGCGGCCGAUGGCAGAUUAGGUAGUUGGUGGGAUAAAAGCUUACCAAGCCGACGAUCUGUAGCUGGUCUGAGGGGACGAUCAGCCACACUAGGACUGAGACACGGCCCAGACUCCUACGGGAGGCAGCAGUGGGGAAUUUUGGACAAUGGGCGCAAGCCUGAUCCAGCAAUGCCGCGUGCAGGAUGAAGGCCUUCGGGUUGUAAACUGCUUUUGUACGGAACGAAAAGCCCUGGGUUAAUACCCUGGGGUCAUGACGGUACCGUAAGAAUAAGCACCGGCUAACUACGUGCCAGCAGCCGCCGCGGUAA